AAUUCCCAAUAGGUCAAAAGAAAUCCCACAUAGAACGUAUUAAGCAUUUUCUCAAGAAAACGUUUAGCUUGCCAUAUCCAUGAAGAUAAUGAGCUAGUUCAAACCUCUGUCAAACACCAUUAAGAACGGCGUCAUGGAUUUCUCUCCAUCUAAAGAACAAAAUGCUUCACUUAAAGAUUUUGUUGGAAUAAAUAUGACUUGCUAGAUAUGUCAACUAUAGUUCAAUUGGAUAAAGAUGCUAAACAUGCUCUAGCAUAUCAGAAGGUUAAUAUUGCAAAAGGUUAGAUCAUUAUAUGAAUUUUCAUGAGGCAAAUUCAAAAUUAUUAAAUACAUGAUUGGGUUCGCAUUGGAGGUUAUUGAGAGAAUAGUCAUAGAGAAAAUAGCAAGAAAACGAAGCGCAUCGUCAAUUGAUAUGACACCGCCAAGAUAUUGGCAUACGAAGAUCAUAGACGAGUUGAACGAAAAAAAAGUCAAAAUGGAUGUUGAAUUCCAACAAGAUGUUGGCAGCUGAUUCUGACAGGUAAAGGCUGCCGACUUUGCAAUGGCCAUUAUGGUUUCCCUCACUGUCUCUGGGCAGUCGCCUAACAAAAUACUUUUAGCCAUUGGCAAGGGAUCUUUAUCAAUUGUGAAGUCCUGUCAAGCAGAUUCAAACGCCAGACUCAAACGAUGAACUGUCAAUUGAACGACGGUCCGUCAGUCCCGGCCAUCGAUUGCUUCGACAAUAAUUAUUUCAGAGGUCUUUUAGUCUUUUUCUGAAAAAAAGAAGCAAGAAAGGAGAAAAAGGUCAAAAACCCUACUUCAAGAAUGCAGCAAGGUUCCAUCAGUUCCAGCACCAAAAUAUAAAGAUUUCUCCGUGGAUUUCAUCAUCAGGUUCAGACUCUCAGCAUCCAGAUCACGCUUAGAUUGAUUCCCGAUCUCCACCUCAUCAGAGUUAGUGGCAGAGAAAAUAGGUACAUAAGUCAAUGUGAAGGUGGAGUCAUACUCGCCCAACCUUUUUUAGAAGAAAAAUAUGGAGGAGCUUAUAAUGAACAUUGCUAGUCAUACUCGCCCAACCUUUUUGAGAAGAAAAAUAUGGAGGAGCUUAUAAUGAACAUUACUUCUACGUACUGCGCUGUUGGCGCUACUGUUACUCAUACUGGUGAAGAUGCCGCAACAACACCUGCUGCGGGUGAGAAAAAGAGGAGAACUUAGACAUUGAGCUUGCUGGAAGCCACAGCUAGCUAGAGUACUGAAUGUCAUUUUCACAUAAGGCUAUAUGUUGUUUUUCGAGUUUCUUUUCGUGUGGAAGCCACAAACAAAUAACUCUUUGCAUCUAUCCUGUUUUGUUAUGGUUAUAUUUGUUUUUUUUUCAUUUGUGUAAAACUCUUCUUUUAAUCUACUAUUUUCUUUGCAA